AGUAGUUGAACAGUAUAGAUCCAGGAUCUACAAACAUCUCUGCUCAGACAUAAAAGUGGUUGGGAAGACACAAAAUCUAUACAUAUUUAUAUUGUUCCUAUUUUUUUUAUUUUUUUUGUUUUUAAAAACACUCAAAUUUUGAUUACCGAUGAGGAUGUCCUUACACCCCGUUCUAUCUCCGCUGCUACCGCUUCCAUACUCACUCCAUAUCUAAUUUUUUUUUCUCCUUUACAUCCGUUUCCAUGGUGAUGUUGUCAUAUGUACAAGGUUUUGUAAACGGAUUCGAUUUCCACCUUUUCUGAUGAUGGGACAAGAGACCAUUGAGGAAGUCAGGAAGACGAUGAUGAAACGGUGUGCGUUGAACCAUAUUCGGAUAUUCGAUUUUUCUUACGAAUAAUUUCGGAUAUCCAGAUUUUUGGAUACGGAUCUGGAUAGUAAUAACGUGAAUCCGCCGGAUACGGAUCCGGAUUCGGAUAGCUAAAAAAAUGUCAGAUAUCCAGAUCUGUCUCAGGGCUAAAUAAUAUAAUCAUAUACAUAAAAAUAAAGUUUCACUCUAUCCUUAAUGGUUCAUUUAUCAUUUAAUUUUUAGGGUAUUUGCAAAAAUACUCUUUUUUCAUGUCUAUUUUUAAAUUAUUUUUCCAUGUUGACCAUUUUUAAAACUAUCAUUUUUUAUGUAUAAAAUGAACAACAUACAUUUUUUGAGUGACAUCAA